CAGUUGUGGUAUGACCUCCUCUUGUAAUAUCAUCUAUAUGAAUUCAAAUCAUAUUUUACCAGUGUGCCAAAAUUUUGAAGUUAAGAAACCUUCUCUGCGCAGUGUACUGUUAACUUCGGUUCCAUAAUUAAACCAGAACCUCUGUCCUGGACAGGUUCACUCAGCUUUGCCUGCCUUUGAGUAAUACACCUUCAGACCAGUGACUUCCUUUGAUGUAUUACAAUGAUAGACUGAAGAGUUCAUGUAAUACAUCAUCACAGUCAGCUGUUGCUGGACGCCAAGGAUUGAGAGACCGAGCCAGCUGUUUUUCUGAGCCCCAGGUGCAGCCUUCCAUCAGCCACUUCACUGCCUUUGCACAUAUGACUGUUAAUGAACACAGAAGAGAUGGCUCUAUGUCUUGGCAUGAUCUUCUGUCAUUGAACCAAUCUUUCGUACUGAUGAUGCAAACUUCGGACAUUACAGUUCUGGUUUCUGAUGGUGAUUUUGGGCUGUACCAGGUAGUAUCCUGAUUUUUAUUCUUGUUCUGAAAAGUACCUAAGGACAACUGAUCAAAUGAUCAAGAGAAGGAUCUUUGGUAGUGAUCAUGUUUUUUUAGGGAGACUAAUGUACAGAACUGAAUUGUUAAAAAACUUCGACCAAACUGGCUUCAGUGAGCUUUGGCUCCGAU
rnacentral:lncRNA from 1 species